GACAGAGGGUGCAAACGUUGCUCGGAAUUACUGGGCGUAAAGGGCGUGUAGGCGGGAAGGCAAGUCGGGCGUGAAAGCCCCAGGCUCAACCUGGGAACUGCACUCGAAACUGCCUUUCUUGAGUGCCGGAGAGGAAAGCGGAAUUCCUGGUGUAGAGGUGAAAUUCGUAGAUAUCAGGAGGAACACCAGUGGCGAAGGCGGCGCUCUGGGCCGGAACUGACGCUGAGGAGCGAAAGCGUGGGUAGCAAACAGG
rnacentral:rRNA from 1 species